AUGAACGCUGGCGGCGUGCCUAACACAUGCAAGUCGAACGGGACUAUCAAGUGAUGUUUCGGACUGAACUUUUAGUUAGUGGCGGACGGGUGAGUAACGCGUGGACAACCUGCCUCUCACUGGGGGAUAGCAGCUGGAAACGGCUGGUAAUACCGCAUGCGUUCAAUGUGCCGCAUGACACAUUGAAGAAAGAUUUAUCGGUGAGAGAUGGGUCCGCGUCUGAUUAGCCAGUUGGCGGGGUAACGGCCCACCAAAGCGACGAUCAGUAGCCGGCCUGAGAGGGCGGACGGCCACAUUGGGACUGAGACACGGCCCAGACUCCUACGGGAGGCAGCAGUGGGGGAUAUUGCACAAUGGGCGCAAGCCUGAUGCAGCGACGCCGCCGUGAGUGAAGAAGUAUUUCGGUAUGUAAAGCUCUAUCAGCAGGGAAGAAAGGCCCGCAAGGGAGAUGACGGUACCUGACUAAGAAGCCCCGGCUAACUACGUGCCAGCAGCCGC
rnacentral:rRNA from 1 species